rnacentral:ribozyme from 15 species
GCACGUCGCUGACAGGUGUGGGGGAGUAAGGUGCCCCCUCUCCAUCAUAGAUCAGGUCUGUGGAAGUGAAUAGUGUUAGAGAAUCAGGCACAUGAGCAGAAAU